GAUGAAGAACGCAGCGAAAUGCGAUAAGUAAUGUGAAUAGCAGAAUUCAGUGAAUCAUCGAAUCUUUGAACGCACAUUGCGCCCCCUGGUAUUCCGGGGGGCAUGCCUGUUCGAGCGUCAUUUCACCACUCAAGCCUCGCUUGGUAUUGGGCAACGCGGUCCGCCGCGUGCCUCAAAUCGACCGGCUGGGUCUUCUGUCCCCUAAGCGUUGUGGAAACUAUUCGCUAAAGGGUGUUCGGGAGGCUACGCCGUAAAACAACCCCAUUUCUAAGGUUGACCUCGGAUCAGGUAGGGAUACCCGCUGAACUUAAGCAUAUCAAUAAGCGGAGGA
rnacentral:misc_RNA from 1 species